rnacentral:rRNA from 1 species
AGAGUUUGAUCAUGGCUCAGAUUGAACGCUGGCGGCAUGCCUUACACAUGCAAGUCGAACGGCAGCACGGGGCAACCUGGUGGCGAGUGGCGAACGGGUGAGUAAUAUAUCGGAACGUGCCCUGGAGUGGGGGAUAACGUAGCGAAAGUUACGCUAAUACCGCAUACGAUCUCAGGAUGAAAGCAGGGGACCCGUAAGGGCCUUGUGCUCCUGGAGCGGCCGAUAUCUGAUUAGCUAGUUGGUGGGGUAAAAGCCUACCAAGGCGACGAUCAGUAGCUGGUCUGAGAGGACGACCAGCCACACUGGAACUGAGACACGGUCCAGACUCCUACGGGAGGCAGCAGUGGGGAAUUUUGGACAAUGGGGGCAACCCUGAUCCAGCAAUGCCGCGUGUGUGAAGAAGGCCUUCGGGUUGUAAAGCACUUUUGUCAGGAACGAAACGGUUGUCCCUAAUAUGGAUGGCUAAUGACGGUACCUGAAGAAUAAGCACCGGCUAACUACGUGCCAGCAGCCGCGGUAAUACGUAGGGUGCAAGCGUUAAUCGGAAUUACUGGGCGUAAAGCGUGCGCAGGCGGUUAUGUAAGACAGAUGUGAAAUGCCCGG